UGAGCGUUGCACUGCCCAGGAUGACACUACCUCUCUUGUCCAUAAAGUUCUACACUGAGGCUCCUUCAGCAAUAUUCAAAGCCUGCAGUUACCGUGUUCACGCCUAACGUUAGUUAAUCUUAAGGUCGACAUCCCAAACAUGAAAUCUGUCUCCUUCUGUUGGGAGAACAUGUCAGGUCACUGGCACUGAUUUCAGUUGCUCAGUGGCAUAUACUGCAAAAGCAGACAGCAUGUGCCUGCAGUGACAUCAUCACGUGGGGGUAAAAAGUCUUGGGGGUCAUCUAGCACUGCCCUUCCUGCCCAGAUGGGAUGGCAGGGCCAGGGAGAUGCAGGGACCGGGGUUCUUUACCCAGCUGGCCCCUGGGGCACCAGAUUAGAGCAGUCUGUUGCCCUAGCCUCCACCUGGGUUGCCCUAGCCUCCACCCGGACCCCCACACCCAGUCAGAGGUGAGAGGCAUAGCUGGCUAAUCUCCAUACGGAGACAGGCAGCUUCAGGCGAGGGCUCUUCUGGCAAUACAUUACGUAUGUAGUAAAUACAUACUUUGGCACAUAUCCCAUAAAUAUAAUUUUUCCACGUGCACUUAUGCAGGCUUCCGGUGUUCAUGAGUAAGUUUUAAGGCAAAUAAAUAUUCCACGCUUAGAUCCUGCUAGUAAUAUUAAAUAUGGUUAACCAUGCUGUUGCCUGCAGAAGGAUUCAUUCUAGUACAUUGUGAUCAAACCCACAUGGGCUGUCACCAUCUUCAGUUCAGCAAAUCAGCAUUUUCCGUAAGUUUCCAGGACGUUAAGAAAGGCAGAUGCAAGGCUGGCAAUGAGAGAUGGUCCCGAGGCGACGGGCACUUCUCACACAAACCUGCAGUGGAAUUUCAUGUUAUGGGAUCUUCCGGCCAUUGCUUUAAAAGUGACAUGUGUCAUACUUUUGUAUAUGAGUAGUGUGUGAACUGGGUCAAUCAAGUAUUUACAAGACAGCUCAUUAAAGUCAUUUAACGUGAUUCGACCACGCCCCAUUUUCCCACAGCAGCAGCCACUUUGCGCACUUUGGAGCUGUGUCUUCCUGCUCGUGACUGGUCUGCUCCAGAGCUGGCCCGUCAGAUGACCACGUUAGGUAUAACAUUAGACCAGACACGGCUGUGCCUUCGUCUCUUUAGAACUAGAAUGCAACAGAAUGCACACUUCUAAUUAAAUACAGUUGCCAUGGCGACCGUGGUCACGCAGCCCGGGCGGCCAACUUGCAAGCAGUCUGCAUUAGUUGGGGAAGAAUGGAAUUAGGAGAAUAAACCAAAACAGCCAGCCUCCGCCUGCAGACCUCGUUCGCCUUAGCUCAGACACACACGUACACAGCAGAAAGCAACAAAGGGCAAGCUUCCGCGGAACGGACUGGAAGGGUGAGUGGACGCUGAGCCGGCUGUGGAAGUCAAACGCACGAGAGGCCGGCCUGCAAACACACCAAGCACACGCAGGCCGCCGACAGAAAGCUCACAAAGCUUUAGCCGCAGCUGAACACGGGCCUGUCGCAUUAUUUCGAGAACAUUCCCCGGAUGACGGAUGACUUCCACGCCAGCUGGAAUGUGCUGUGAUGUGCAGGAGGGGUGAGCAAGGGGUCUUUGCCCUGGGUUUUGCACGAGGGACCGCAGGGAAGCAGUGACACUCGUUUCUUCUCUAAAAACCUCGGCAGCCUUGGCUUUUGGGUAUCUGAUUGCAGCAGAACGGUUCACUAUGGCACAAAGUGUAGACCGUUAGAGACCUUGCAAGUACUUGAGAGAUUCCUGAUGUAACGCUUGCGGGAGAAGCAUUGCGCAAACCCAGUGUCCUUCGAGGUCCCCGCUUUGCUCAGAGGGCAGACUGGAGGCAAUUUACCAUGAUGCUGAUUGGGACCGUCGCUGACUGGAGGGAUGACAAUAGUGGCAUUCUGUCGUCCUCUAAACCUCCUGGGCUUUCCAGAUCUCGUCCACCAGCCUGCAGUCUUUUAUACGUACGAAAGAAAGGAUAAAGAUAGUUGCUGUUCCACAGUCUCUGGUAAAGCCUACGUCUGAAUUUCUCUUUGUUCACUGGAACGAGAUGGUCUGGACUGAGGACGGCAAGGCAACAAUACACAGCUUCUGUCCUCCUCCGUCAAGCACCGGUGUCUACUCAGUGCCGUCCUUCGUGCGUGCGGUGGGAGAAUCAGUGCUCAGGAAGACGCCCACAGAGAGCGAGCCACUGGUCCGCUCGGCUGGCCGGUCUGUCUCUGAGCAUCUGCCACGUGUGGCCGUGGAGCUGGCAGCUCGUGUGGCUCCUGUCGCCACAGCUCUCUGAGGUGCCGGCCCACGGUUCGGCACAGAAAACUGCUUUCCAGAUAUUUACAGUUUGUAGGUAAUGUGAAAAAGGAGUAGUUUUGUGUGUUUUCUUACCUUCUGUCUGCAACACACACGUAGGGCGUCCUGGCAUCUAAGGCAGCAGCUUUUGAGCACAACUCUGAGAAUGGGUGCGCCCGGGCUCCCUGCAGACCCUGAACACAGUGCGGGGUGGGGGUGGGGGGGAGCAGAGAUGCCUCACACUGUGCAUCGGCUCAGCCUGUGGCACCUGCCCCUCGAGCUCCUUUCCAAGAAAGGGGUGAGGUGGUAGUUGCACGGAUGGCAUGCCCGUGGUCCCUCACCCACCCCAGACUGGAAAUCCAGGCCCCCAGCCCCUGGCGCCCCUUUCGCCCGUUUAUCUCAGACAGUCAGCCUGCUGUCUCACUCACUCUCUGCCUGCAGUUACCUUGCCUUAGAAGAGGGUGCUUGUUACCUGAACACGGAAAUGAGGAGGGUGAUCUUUUGGGGUUUUCAGUAACUAAUCUAAAACCCUAUAAGGCACGGCUGACAUUUAACAUUGUAUUAGCUUCAGACCCACAACGUAGCGAGUCAAUAUUUGCACGCGUGGCCACGUGGUGGCCACGGUAAGCCCCGUUAGCAGUCGUGUCACCGCACGCCGUUGCAGAAGUUCUUUCGUGAGAUGAGCACUCGUACGAGGUGCUCUCUUAGCGACUUUCAGACACGCGACACGGUGUGACUGCCCACGGUCACGGCGCCGUGCCCGCGAUACCUCAGCUAGAACAAUCUCACGACCACUCUGUGUGAGUGCAGAGACCAGACAGUCCCCACCUUUCUCUCUGGCUCUGAGUCCCCCCUCCCUGUGCUGCAUGCCAGCAUCAGCCACCUGUCUGUCAGCCUGAAGCCAUGCAGACACUUGGGAAAAUACUGGGGAGACAAGUGGGUACUGGCACUACCUCUCCCUGGCUUCUGUGCUGUUCUUAGGCGUUCAUGUGCCCACAGCCUUCAGUAUCAUCCUUAGGAAAUUCCUUUCUGGAAUCGAAAUCCGGGCUCAGAAAAGAGCUAUGCCCAACUCGUUCAUACUAAAAUGUAAAUGGAUGCCAGGAAGCCUUCCCUGAAUGCUUGCUCUGCAUGCAGUUCUGCCUGUGGGAAGCACCAGGAAUUGUGUCCUUCCCCAGAGCCACCGGGCGUUGAGUGUAGCCUGUGAUGCAGUGGCCUCGAGUCUUCAGCCACUUCCACCCCACCCCACCCCGCACAACAGCCACGUGAGGCCUGGGCCCUUCGGGAAGUCCUCCCCCUGCCAGAGGACCAAAUACCUCUAACCGCAUCAUGUGCUAGUCCUACAUUAUUAACAUUCCCCCAAAGCAUCACUGAAGAGAUGAUAUUUUCAUGCGUACUCUUUCACCGAACUGAGUAUUUUCCGUCAGCAUUGCUGCCUCCUUGUUAUGUACGAACACAGCACCUGUGGACCUUUGGGGCCGGAAAUUCCCACCCAGCAGACACCUGCUGACUGACACUGAGAGCUCGGGGCCACGGUCUGGAGGAAACUCACACAAAAGCAUGACUUCUCUACAGUGAAGGGAGUUCAGAACCCGCUGAUGCACCAGCGGGCGUCCUUCACGUGGGCACGGGACGGUCGGACUUCACCGGGAGAAUCACCGUAAAAAAUGCACUGUCAACUCCAGUAACGGUUCAUGAUUUAUUAUGUUUCGUUGUUACAAAGACUUGAAUAAACCCAUAAUUGCAUGUACAAUUUAUUAUAUAAAUCUAUACAUUAAAAUAUUUCAUAGCCAAAA